rnacentral:rRNA from 1 species
AUUGAACGCUGGCGGCAUGCCUUACACAUGCAAGUCGAACGGCAGCGCGGGAGCAAUCCUGGCGGCGAGUGGCGAACGGGUGAGUAAUACAUCGGAACGUGCCCAAUCGUGGGGGAUAACGCAGCGAAAGCUGUGCUAAUACCGCAUACGAUCUACGGAUGAAAGCAGGGGAUCGCAAGACCUUGCGCGAAUGGAGCGGCCGAUGGCAGAUUAGGUCGUUGGUGAGGUAAAGGCUCACCAAGCCUUCGAGCUGUAGUUGGUCUGAGAGGACGAACAGCAACACUGGGACGGAGACACGGCCCAGACUCCUACGGGAGGCAGCAGGGGGGAAUUUUGGACAAUGGGCGCAAGCCUGAUCCAGCCAUGCAGCGUGCAGGAUGAAGGCCUUCGGGUUGUAAACUGCUUUUGUACGGAACGAAAAGACUCCUUCUAAUAAAGGGGGUCCAUGACGGUACCGUAAGAAUAAGCACCGGCUAACUACGUGCCAGCAGCCGCCGUAAUAC